GGCGGCGUGCUAACACAUGCAAGUCGAACGGAGAUAAGCGCUGAUGAUUUAGCUUGCUAGAGAUUCUUGCUUAUCUUAGUGCGGACGGGUGAGUAACGCGUGAGCAACCUGCCUUUCAGAGGGGGAUAACGUCUUGAAAAGGACGCUAAUACCGCAUGAUAUUAUGGAGCCACAUGGCUCUAUAAUCAAAGGAGCAAUCCGCUAGAAAGAUGGGCUCGCGUCCGAUUAGGUAGUUGGCGGGAUAACAGCCCACCAAGCCGACGAUCGGUAGCCGGACUGAGAGGUUGACGGCCACAGUUGGGACUGAGACGACGGCCCAGACUCCGUACGGGAGGCAGCAGUGGAGGGAUAGUUGGUCAAUGGGGGAAACCCCUGAACCAGCAACGCCGCGUGAGGGAUGACGGCCUUCGGGUUGUAAACCUCUGUCCUCUGUGAAGAUAAUGACGGUAGCAGAGGAGGAAGCUCCGGCUAACUACGUGCCAGCAGCCGCGGUAA
rnacentral:rRNA from 1 species